rnacentral:rRNA from 1 species
AUACGGAGGAUCCGAGCGUUAUCCGGAUUUAUUGGGUUUAAAGGGUGCGCAGGCGGCCAUUUAAGUCAGCGGUUAAAUCGUGGGGCUCAACCCCAUUCUGCCGUUGAUACUGGGUGGCUUGAUUGCGGUCGAGGUUGGCGGAAUUCGUUGUGUAGCGGUGAAAUGGAUAGAUAUGACGAAGAACACCGAUUGCGUAGGCAUCUGACCAGACCGCAAAUGACGCUCAUGCACGAAAGUGCUGGGAUCGAACAUGAUUAGAUACCCUGGUAGUCCGCACAGUAAACGAUGAAUACUUGUUUUCGGCGAUAUAAUGUCGGAGGCAAAGCGAAAGCGAUAAGUAUUCCACCUGGGGAGUACGCCGGCAACGGUGAAACUUAAAGGAAUUGGCGGGG